AAAAUAUAUAAGAAGAAAGGUGUUUAAAGAAGAAAAACCAGAAUUAUAGCGUAGUAAUGCUGUGAUUAUUGAAGCAAAACUAAACUUCAAGUAGGAUUUAGCUACUCUGUUGGAAGGUUAAUUGCUUAAGAAGCCAAGUUUCAUAAGGAAAUGAGAUGAAAAUGCAGGAAAUGAUGAAGAAUCAUACACAUAGGAGCUAUCCUCAAUGCGAAUGACAUUGAUCUAAUUCGAGGAAUUUAUCGUUACUGAGUGAAGAUGAAUUUAAUAUUAAAAUGAUAAUGAAAAAAAUCAAUGUUUUAAGAAUGAAGAAUUCCUCAAUUAAUCUAUCAUUUUGCAAACUUCCAUCAUUCGAGGAUCGUUUAUUUUUAAAUAAAAUGAGAAAUUUCAUAAGCAGUACAACAUAUAAUCAAGAAAUACGAUAUAAUUUGAAACCUAUAUAAUCCUAGAUCAACAAAAAUGUUUAGAUAAGUCAUUUUUAUCAUCAUCUUUCUGCAACAAGGGAGGAUAUUUUCAAUAGAUUGGAUUAUUUUGAAAAAGGAAUACAAAAAUUUAAAGAUAAGUUUAAUUACUGUAUAAACUUUAAAAGAAACUAAAAGUAUUUUUUGUACUAUUUUCUAAUAAUGUAUUCGAUUUACAAGCCCCUUACAAUCAUAUCGAAAGACAUGAAUCUUGAACACAAUUGUUCUAGAUAAAAUUACCUGGUUGUGGAAGAACUUAAAUCAUGAUUUCGAUAUAAUGGAAGAUAGUAUAACAGAUGUUACGACAACAGGAAACAGCAAUCUAACCAAAAGCACGAUCAAAUGGUGAUAGAUUAUGUACUGCGGCAGGAAUUUACGAAUUAUUACAACGAAACUAUGCGAAGCUAAAUUUUCUCUCCAAAAGUUCAGAUUUAAAAAGUGUAAUGUCAAGAAACAAUUAUUUAAAAUACAAAAGAUGGGUGUAUCGGGCGUGAUUAAUGAGUUUACAUCAUUUAAAAUUUUCAGGAUUAGAGGAAAAAAACUCUCACGAAACUCAAACAAGAAUUUAAAAAUCCUAUCACGGCUCCAUUACCUGGAAGGAAAAGGAUUAAAAAGUAUCUACUUCGAAUUUAUUUUGGACGUCGACGAGAUCCGACUGGAGAUUAAGUUAAAUACGAUUUAAAUUAGAAGCUGCUCAAUAAAAUUCGAUGUUAAACAACUGCAGUAUUUUACUUAAAACCUUUUAAAGCUAUGAUAAUCAAUUAUUAAACGUUUUCUCUCAGAUUAAUUAUGAAUGAUAUAUGAAGAUGGAGUUAUAUCAAAUCACGGCGCCAUCUUGUAAACCUACGAGACCGGAUGCUAUGAAUGUAUUCAACUGAAGUAGUAACGUGUAACGAUGCGCAGUUAUCACAUUUCACAGAUUAUCCACAGUCUGCUGAGAUAUUUCUCAUGGGUCCAAUAACCAUGAAUAUUUAAUAUGGCAUUUGUUGCUCUCUUUUAAUAUACAGAUGCGAUUGUUAUGACUUAUGAGAAUUGAAGCGCUACUUUCCAUGAAUGAUUUGCCUAUUAUUUUAUAGUCUGUUAUAAACGUAAGUAUAGGCCGCAUGUUUAAAAAUAAAUUCAAUAAUUAUAAUUAUCUUCUCACUAUAUACAGUAUAUAUUUCACUGCAUGAAGUAGAAGUAGAUCAAGUAUUUGAAACAUUAAUUAUUUCCCGAAGUAAACGUUGCAUUUUUCAAGUUAGAAUUAAAUAUUUAUGUCCAAAAGUCCUAGGAACAUCUAGAAUAUUUAAUAAGUUUAACACGAGGGUGUGGCAAAGGUCGUUCAGGAAAUAUAUUUAAAGAUAAACUUAAGUAAAAUUACAAGAUAAUUUUUACUGAUUUUUUUAAGAAUAUGUUUUCAUG